UCGAGGGGUAACGGGGUGCUUGCACCGCCGACGACCGGCGCACGGGUGCGUAACGCGUAUAGUACCUACCUUAUGGUAUGGGAUAGCCCAGGGAAACUUGGAUUAAUACCAUAUAGCACCAUUUUUCGGCAUCGUCGAAUGGUUAAAGAUUUAUCGCCAUAAGAUGGCUAUGCGUCCUAUUAGCUUGUUGGUGUGGUAACGGCACACCAAGGCAACGAUAGGUAGGGGCCCUGAGAGGGGGACCCCCCACACUGGUACUGAGACACGGACCAGACUCCUACGGGAGGCAGCAGUGAGGAAUAUUGGACAAUGGGGGCAACCCUGAUCCAGCCAUGCCGCGUGCAGGAAGACUGCCCUAUGGGUUGUAAACUGCUUUUAUAGGGGAAGAAACACAGGCAUGCAUGCUUGUUUGACGGUACCCUACGAAUAAGGAUCGGCUAACUCCGUGCCAGCAGCCGCGGUAAUACGGAGGAUCCAAGCGUUAUCCGGAAUCAUUGGGUUUAAAGGGUCCGUAGGCGGCCUUAUAAGUCAGUGGUGAAAGUUUACGGCUCAACCGUGAAAUUGCCAUUGAUACUGUGGGGCUUGAAUCAUUGUGAAGUGGCUAGAAUAAGUAGUGUAGCGGUGAAAUGCAUAGAUAUUACUUAGAAUACCGAUUGCGAAGGCAGGUCACUAACAAUUGAUUGACGCUAAGGGACGAAAGCGUGGGUAGCGAACAGGAUUAGAUACCCUGGUAGUCCACGCCGUAAACGAUGGUUACUAGCUGUCCGGACUUCGGUCUGGGUGGCUAAUCGAAAGUGAUAAGUAACCCACCUGG
rnacentral:rRNA from 1 species